rnacentral:rRNA from 1 species
CCUACGGGAGGCAGCAGUGGGGAAUAUUGCACAAUGGGGGAAACCCUGAUGCAGCGACGCCGCGUGCGUGAAGAAGUAAUUCGGUACGUAAAGCCCUAUCUGCAGGGAAGAAAAUGACGGUACCUGUGUAAGAAUCCCCGGCUCACUACGUUCCAGCUGCCGCGGUAAUACGGAGGGGGCAAGCGUUAUCCGGAUUUACUGGGGGUAAAGGGAGCGUAGGCGGUUCGCCAAGUCUGGAGUGAAAUGCCUCAGCUUAACUGCGGAACUGCUUUGGAAACUGGCGAACUAGAGUGCGGGAGGGGUAAGCGGAAUGCGUGGUGUAGCGGUGAAAGGCGUAGAUAUUAGGAGGAACACCGGUGGCGAAGGCGGCUUACUGGACCGUAACUGACGUUGAGGCACGAAAGCGUGGGGAGCAAACAGGAUUAGAUACCCCAGUAGUC